CGGGCAGUAGCGCAGCCUGGUAGCGCACCUGCUUCGGGAGCAGGGGGUCGGAGGUUCGAAUCCUCUCUGCCCGA
rnacentral:tRNA from 1 species